CACGGAGGAGGCAAGCGUUAGCCGGAAUUAUUGGGCGUAAAGGGUGCGUAGGCGACUGGUCAAGUCUGGGGUCAAAGGCCACAGCUCAACUGUGGGAAGGCCCUGGAAACUGACCGGCUAGAGUGAGGUAGGGGUUGCGGGAAUUCCCGGUGUAGCGGUGAAAUGCGUAGAGAUCGGGAAGAACACCUGAGGAGGAAGCGCGCAACUGGGCCUCAACUGACGCUGAGGUACGAAAGCUAGGGGAGCGAAUGGG
rnacentral:rRNA from 1 species